rnacentral:rRNA from 1 species
AUACCGCAUAACGUCGCAAGACCAAAGAGGGGGACCUUCGGGCCUCUUGCCAUCGGAUGUGCCCAGAUGGGAUUAGCUAGUAGGUGGGGUAACGGCUCACCUAGGCGACGAUCCCUAGCUGGUCUGAGAGGAUGACCAGCCACACUGGAACUGAGACACGGUCCAGACUCCUACGGGAGGCAGCAGUGGGGAAUAUUGCACAAUGGGCGCAAGCCUGAUGCAGCCAUGCCGCGUGUAUGAAGAAGGCCUUCGGGUUGUAAAGUACUUUCAGCGGGGAGGAAGGGAGUAAAGUUAAUACCUUUGCUCAUUGACGUUACCCGCAGAAGAAGCACCGGCUAACUCCGUGCCAGCAGCCGCGGUAAUACGGAGGGUGCAAGCGUUAAUCGGAAUUACUGGGCGUAAAGCGCACGCAGGCGGUUUGUUAAGUCAGAUGUGAAAUCCCCGGGCUCAACCUGGGAACUGCAUCUGAUACUGGCAAGCUUGAGUCUCGUA